UCUGGAGAGCACUUUGUCCCUUUUUAUAGAGGGAACUCACUUAGGUCUUAAGAAAAAUUUGUUUGGUCGUUAUAGAUCUGUUAGAUUGUUAGGCCAUUAGAAAUCUAUUAGACUAUUUGAGAUUUGUUAGGCCGUUUGGUUGUUGUAAUAGAAUGGUCAGCUGUGCAAAGAUGUAGGAUGGCCACCCAUAUAAUAAAUGAGUUGGAAUACAAUCGAAAGGUAGUUACGGAUGAGCUGAAUGAUAGUUGUCAGAUAACUAUCUAUACUUCUGAUAGCACGUCGGUAAUAGACCAAUAUGGAA
rnacentral:lncRNA from 1 species